GCCGAGGCGGGGCAGUGUCAAGAUGUCGGCGGCGGUCCCGGAGCUGAAGCAGAUCAGCCGGGUGGAGGCUAUGCGCCUUGGGCCGGGCUGGAGCCACUCGUGCCACGCCAUGCUGUACGCCGCCAACCCCGGGCAGCUCUUCGGCCGCAUCCCUAUGCGCUUCUCGGUGCUGAUGCAGAUGCGCUUCGACGGGCUGCUGGGUUUUCCCGGGGGCUUCGUGGACCGGCGCUUUUGGUCUCUGGAGGACGGUUUGAACCGGGUGCUGGGCCUGGGCCUGGGCUGCCUGCGCCUCACAGAGGCCGACUACCUGAGCUCUCACCUGACCGAGGGCCCGCACCGCGUCGUGGCGCACCUGUACGCACGGCAGCUGACCCUGGAGCAGCUGCACGCCGUGGAAAUCAGCGCGGUGCAUUCGCGCGAUCACGGCCUGGAGGUGCUGGGGCUUGUGCGAGUCCCACUUUACACCCAAAAGGACCGAGUCGGUGGCUUUCCCAACUUCCUGAGCAACGCCUUUACCAGCACCGCCAAGUAUCAGCUGCUCUUUGCGCUCAAGGUGCUCAACAUGAUGCCGGAAGAGAAGCUGGCUGAGGCUUUGGCAGCUGCCACUGAGAAGCAAAAGAAAGCCUUGGAGAAGCUCCUCCCAUCUUCCUCCUGAGCACAGGCUGCAGGCAGCUCCAGGACAUGGUAUGGAAGCACUGGCCAGGUGUGCAGAAGGACAACCGCAGAGCCACCACAGACACGAAGGUCACCACUGGCAGUCUCCUAUGGCCCGAUGUCCGGAAGGACCCCUCCGUGAAGCUAACAAAGUUUCCACAGCACCUGCUCGGCCUGGUCGCUCUCCGUGAGGGUCAGGAAGAUGCGGAGGUCCACGUCCUGCUCCUCGAACACCUGCAGCACACUUUCUGCGAGGAGAGGGCUUCUGUUGCACCGGGUAGACAAGGUGUCCGUGAAGUCAGACGCAGUUCUGUAAGCUAGGGAGUCGUCCCACGCAGCCGGCAAUGCUGACUCUUUCAGAAAGAGACCCUGGGGAGCCCCUGGCAUGGCCGUCACAGUGACCCUGGCCCUGCGGAGGGAGCGUGGGGCGCAGGCACGUCAGCCGCUUCUCCUGAAUCCACAUUUCCAAGUUGCUCCAAGCUUUUGGGUGAUUCAGAGUUUUGAAAAAAGUUAUUCUGACUACUUCUGCCGGUUUAUUGCCUUUGAUGGAGGAGCCAACUUUCAAAGGUUGUUACUCUGCCAUUUUCCUUAACCUACUUUCUCAAACAGCCUUAAGAUCUCACCACCACCACCCCUCUCCCAUCAACAUGUAUUUAAGGAAUUGAAAGAUGUCGCUGUUCACCGAGCCCAGAAACAAGGCCCUGGAGAGAGCUCCCUGGAGGGGCCACACAGAGAAGCCGGCAAAACUGCGGCUUCCAGUGACCAGCAGAGCUGUGACCUUAAUAAAUGGUGAAAAUGUA